UCCUCAUGCUUCGUUGCCGCUCGAGCGCGCUGCCAAAAGGUCGAAUGGUUGCAAGGAUGGCGGGAGCGAGGCUCUUUCCCUCUUCCCCUCCCUUCCCCUUGAUGUCUCUCUCCUCUCCUCGGUGCUAGCUAUGGGUGGUGUUCGUCGUCGGCUUUCCUGGACUUUCAGGUUAACGGCGAUAGGAUAUGCGGACUUUGUGUCCAACGCUGGUCUUGAAGUUCUGCUUGGCAGAUUAGCUUAGAGUGGCUGCUUUUGGUCGGACCUGCGUGAUGGGAGUUUCUGCUGGUGUAAGCCACGGUGGGCACCCGCUCGCUUCCGCUAACAAUAUCAUGACCAGAUCUACGCGGGAUUGGCCAAAUAUAUGUUGCUAGCUCCGUCGGGCUAUGGUGGCAGGUGGCUAGAUCCACGUGAGGGGUGGGGGUGCGCGGACGCUCGUAGUACCCGUGGUGUUGUCGGUGUCGGGGGAUGCCCAUGUUCAUUGUCGACGUCUUCCUCUAUGAUUGUCUCCUUCACGGUGGCCAAUGGCGGGUGGCGAUGGGUGGGUGUGAGAGAUCAUGGCAAAUGCCUGGACCACGAUAUUCGUGGACAUCGCUUCCUCCUUGGAGGCGUCCUUCUUACACCUCUUCUCAUGUCGAGCUAGGAUUGCGGGUGAAAGCCUUCCUUUGUGGGCUUGCAACGUUGGCAACUUUGGCGUUGUUUCCUUCAUGAAGGUGUCGUGAGGCUUUUCUAGCUCUGUUUCGCUGCUCUAUUCCGGUUGUCUGGCCAUGGUGGUGUUUCAGGUGACUUUGUUAGUGGUGCUUGAUAUCAACGUUUUAGGUUGGUUGUUGGAGUUAGUUGUUUCUGCUAGUUGUGGUGUCCUAAGUUGAUUUAGUGGUGGGGUUGCUAGUUGGGUCAUUUUUUGACCAGGUUGAGUUGCUAGUUGGGUCGUCUUCACCAAGUUGGCUCGGUGAAGUUCACCAGAGCAUGUAGUAGUGUGAAAUUGUUACUAGUCCGAUUGGAGUACCAAGUUAUACAGGAUGAGUGGCCUACUCUCCUUAGUUGCGUGGUUUUUUUUGGUUCGGUUUCCACAUAAAGAACUGGGUUGACACUUAUUUUUCUUUUUCAUUGUCUAAUAUAAAUAGCAGCAAAGCUUUUGGCGUCCUCUCUACAAAAAUUAAGUCGUUGGAGAAUAGUUUUUUUUCAUCGAAAUCUCUAUUCCUAUCAAUAAGGAUAUAAAUAUGUUCUUAGAUUUACUCUUGGAGGCGACUGAAACCAGUUUUUAGAGACAGCUGCACCAACUGCCUCUAUUUAUGUGUUUCUAGAAAUAAUCCAUCUUUAGAAACUAGGAGCAUACUCCGCGUGUUGCUGCGGGAAUUGCGGAUUAGUAGAUGGAAACGUAUCUAGUACAAACCACAACCUUUGUGAAAACUCGUGCAAACCACGACAAAAAAGUUGUCUAGAUUCACAAAAAAAAUCACACAUGGAGAUGAUAUGAUG
rnacentral:lncRNA from 1 species